rnacentral:rRNA from 1 species
UACGUAGGUGGCAAGCGUUAUCCGGAUUUACUGGGUGUAAAGGGCGUGUAGGCGGGGACGCAAGUCAGAUGUGAAAACCACGGGCUCAACCUGUGGCCUGCAUUUGAAACUGUGUUUCUUGAGUACUGGAGAGGCAGACGGAAUUCCUAGUGUAGCGGUGAAAUGCGUAGAUAUUAGGAGGAACACCAGUGGCGAAGGCGGUCUGCUGGACAGCAACUGACGCUGAGGCGCGAGAGCGUGGGGAGCAAACAGG